rnacentral:misc_RNA from 1 species
UGCUGCAGCUAUGUUACUCAUUCUGUUGUCUCCAUAUAAUUGACUGCAGGUGUGGGUCGCAUGACCACAAUCUCUAUGCCCUUGAUUAUGAGAAUCACUGCUGUGCUUACAAAAUUCAAUGCGGCGGUAGCAUAUUCGGUUCACCUGCACUUGAUGAGGUGCAAGAAAAACUCUAUGUGGCAUCCACUAGUGGCAGAGUAACAGCACUAUUUGUUGGGUUAUAUGUUGCAUGGUGGAUGGAAAUGUUGUUGCGCUGGAUACUGAGGGAUCUGUUGUCUGGAAGGUGAGUACAACUGGCCCAAUAUUUGCUGGGCCCUGCAUAUCUCAUGCGCUAUCUUUACAGGUGCUUGUUUGCUCAAGAGAUGGCAGUGUCUACUCCUUUGAUUUGGAAAAGGGUGAUUUAUUCUGGAAGCAUGAUGUUGGACAUCCAAUUACUUCAUCUGCCUACGUUGAUGAACACUUGCUAUUGGCAUGUCCUGAUUCUUCCCUGUCUCAAAGGUUAGUGUGUGUUUGUUCCAGUUCUGGAAGUGUACAUGUUCUUCAAGUCAGCUUGAAUUUUGACGGAGAAAAUCAACCAUGUGAUAUGGUGCGGGAAUUUGCUAGGUUUGAACUUGGAGGAGACGUCUUUU